GACAGAGGUGCCAAGCGUUAGGCGGAAUCACUGGGCUUAAAGCGUGUGUAGGCGGGCGGGCAAGUACCUUGUGAAAUCCCAACGGCUCAACCGUGGAACGGCUGGGUAUACUGCCUGUCUUGAGCCAGCUAGGGGCGACCGGAACAGACGGUGGAGCGGUGAAAUGCGUAGAUAUCGUCUGGAACGCCAAAGGUGAAAACAGGUCGCUGGGGCUGAGCUGACGCUGAGACACGAAAGCCAGGGGAGCGAACGGG
rnacentral:rRNA from 1 species